UUAAGCGACUAAGCGUACACGGUGGAUGCCCUGGCAGUCAGAGGCGAUGAAGGACGUGCUAAUCUGCGAUAAGCGUCGGUGAGGUGAUAUGAACCGUUAUAACCGGCGAUUUCCGAAUGGGGAAACCCAGUGUGUUUCGACACACUAUCAUUAACUGAAUCCAUAGGUUAAUGAGGCGAACCGGGGGAACUGAAACAUCUAAGUACCCCGAGGAAAAGAAAUCAACCGAGAUUCCCCCAGUAGCGGCGAGCGAACGGGGAGGAGCCCAGAGCCUGAAUCAGUGUGUGUGUUAGUGGAAGCGUCUGGAAAGGCGCGCGAUACAGGGUGACAGCCCCGUACACAAAAAUGCACAUAUUGUGAGCUCGAUGAGUAGGGCGGGACACGUGGUAUCCUGUCUGAAUAUGGGGGGACCAUCCUCCAAGGCUAAAUACUCCUGACUGACCGAUAGUGAACCAGUACCGUGAGGGAAAGGCGAAAAGAACCCCGGCGAGGGGAGUGAAAAAGAACCUGAAACCGUGUACGUACAAGCAGUGGGAGCCUCUUAAUGGGGUGACUGCGUACCUUUUGUAUAAUGGGUCAGCGACUUAUAUUCUGUAGCAAGGUUAACCGAAUAGGGGAGCCGAAGGGAAACCGAGUCUUAACUGGGCGUUAAGUUGCAGGGUAUAGACCCGAAACCCGGUGAUCUAGCCAUGGGCAGGUUGAAGGUUGGGUAACACUAACUGGAGGACCGAACCGACUAAUGUUGAAAAAUUAGCGGAUGACUUGUGGCUGGGGGUGAAAGGCCAAUCAAACCGGGAGAUAGCUGGUUCUCCCCGAAAGCUAUUUAGGUAGCGCCUCGUGAAUUCAUCUCCGGGGGUAGAGCACUGUUUCGGCAAGGGGGUCAUCCCGACUUACCAACCCGAUGCAAACUGCGAAUACCGGAGAAUGUUAUCACGGGAGACACACGGCGGGUGCUAACGUCCGUCGUGAAGAGGGAAACAACCCAGACCGCCAGCUAAGGUCCCAAAGUCAUGGUUAAGUGGGAAACGAUGUGGGAAGGCCCAGACAGCCAGGAUGUUGGCUUAGAAGCAGCCAUCAUUUAAAGAAAGCGUAAUAGCUCACUGGUCGAGUCGGCCUGCGCGGAAGAUGUAACGGGGCUAAACCAUGCACCGAAGCUGCGGCAGCGACGCUUAUGCGUUGUUGGGUAGGGGAGCGUUCUGUAAGCCUGUGAAGGUGUGCUGUGAGGCAUGCUGGAGGUAUCAGAAGUGCGAAUGCUGACAUAAGUAACGAUAAAGCGGGUGAAAAGCCCGCUCGCCGGAAGACCAAGGGUUCCUGUCCAACGUUAAUCGGGGCAGGGUGAGUCGACCCCUAAGGCGAGGCCGAAAGGCGUAGUCGAUGGGAAACAGGUUAAUAUUCCUGUACUUGGUGUUACUGCGAAGAGGGGACGGAGAAGGCUAUGUUGGCCGGGCGACGGUUGUCCCGGUUUAAGCGUGUAGGCUGAUUUUCCAGGCAAAUCCGGAAAAUCAAGGCUGAGGCGUGAUGACGAGGCACUACGGUGCUGAAGCAACAAAUGCCCUGCUUCCAGGAAAAGCCUCUAAGCAUCAGGUAACAUCAAAUCGUACCCCAAACCGACACAGGUGGUCAGGUAGAGAAUACCAAGGCGCUUGAGAGAACUCGGGUGAAGGAACUAGGCAAAAUGGUGCCGUAACUUCGGGAGAAGGCACGCUGAUAUGUAGGUGAAGUCCCUCGCGGAUGGAGCUGAAAUCAGUCGAAGAUACCAGCUGGCUGCAACUGUUUAUUAAAAACACAGCACUGUGCAAACACGAAAGUGGACGUAUACGGUGUGACGCCUGCCCGGUGCCGGAAGGUUAAUUGAUGGGGUUAGCGGCAACGCGAAGCUCUUGAUCGAAGCCCCGGUAAACGGCGGCCGUAACUAUAACGGUCCUAAGGUAGCGAAAUUCCUUGUCGGGUAAGUUCCGACCUGCACGAAUGGCGUAAUGAUGGCCAGGCUGUCUCCACCCGAGACUCAGUGAAAUUGAACUCGCUGUGAAGAUGCAGUGUACCCGCGGCAAGACGGAAAGACCCCGUGAACCUUUACUAUAGCUUGACACUGAACAUUGAGCCUUGAUGUGUAGGAUAGGUGGGAGGCUUUGAAGUGUGGACGCCAGUCUGCAUGGAGCCGACCUUGAAAUACCACCCUUUAAUGUUUGAUGUUCUAACGUGGGCCCCUAAUCGGGGUUGCGGACAGUGUCUGGUGGGUAGUUUGACUGGGGCGGUCUCCUCCUAAAGAGUAACGGAGGAGCACGAAGGUUGGCUAAUCCUGGUCGGACAUCAGGAGGUUAGUGCAAUGGCAUAAGCCAGCUUGACUGCGAGCGUGACGGCGCGAGCAGGUGCGAAAGCAGGUCAUAGUGAUCCGGUGGUUCUGAAUGGAAGGGCCAUCGCUCAACGGAUAAAAGGUACUCCGGGGAUAACAGGCUGAUACCGCCCAAGAGUUCAUAUCGACGGCGGUGUUUGGCACCUCGAUGUCGGCUCAUCACAUCCUGGGGCUGAAGUAGGUCCCAAGGGUAUGGCUGUUCGCCAUUUAAAGUGGUACGCGAGCUGGGUUUAGAACGUCGUGAGACAGUUCGGUCCCUAUCUGCCGUGGGCGCUGGAGAACUGAGGGGGGCUGCUCCUAGUACGAGAGGACCGGAGUGGACGCAUCACUGGUGUUCGGGUUGUCAUGCCAAUGGCACUGCCCGGUAGCUAAAUGCGGAAGAGAUAAGUGCUGAAAGCAUCUAAGCACGAAACUUGUCCCGAGAUGAGUUCUCCCUGACUCCUUGAGAGUCCUGAAGGAACGUUGAAGACGACGACGUUGAUAGGCCGGGUGUGUAAGCGCAGCGAUGCGUUGAGCUAACCGGUACUAAUGAACCGUGAGGCUUAACCUU
rnacentral:rRNA from 2 species